UACGUAGGGUGCAAGCGUUGUCCGGAAUCAUUGGGCGUAAAGCGCGCGUAGGCGGCCCUGUAAGUCCGCUGUGAAAGUCAAAGGCUCAACCUUUGAAAGCCGGUGGAUACUGCAGGGCUAGAGUCCGGAAGAGGCGAGUGGAAUUCCUGGUGUAGCGGUGGAAUGCGCAGAUAUCAGGAGGAACACCAAUAGCGAAGGCAGCUCGCUGGGACGGUACUGACGCUAAGGCGCGAAAGCGUGGGGAGCGAACAGG
rnacentral:rRNA from 1 species